AAAAAUGAAGCCGGGAAACCGGUCCUUCUAACCCUUGAUUAUCUCAAUUUGUUGCUUUGGUGGGCCGCGCAAGCACCGGCUUCGGCUGGAUCGUGCCCGCCAGAGGACCACAACUCUGUAUUAAAUGUCGUCUGAGUACUAUAUAAUAGUUAAAACUUUCAACAACGGAUCUCUUGGUUCUGGCAUCGAUGAAGAACGCAGCGAAAUGCGAUAAGUAAUGUGAAUUGCAGAAUUCAGUGAAUCAUCGAAUCUUUGAACGCACAUUGCGCCCUCUGGUAUUCCGGGGGGCAUGCCUGUUCGAGCGUCAUUACAACCCUCAAGCUUUGCUUGGUAUUGGACAUUGCCAGUUUCUGGCAGGUCUUAAAAUCAGUGGCGGUGCCAUUUGGCUUCAAGCGUAGUAAUUCUUCUCGCUUUGGAGAUCCAAGUGGUUACUUGCCAAUAACCCCCAAUUUUUUCAGGUUGACCUCGGAUCAGGUAGGGAUACCCGCUGAACUUAA
rnacentral:rRNA from 1 species